AACGCACAUUGCGCCCUUUGGCAUUCCGAAGGGCAUGCCUGUUCGAGCGUCAUUACUCCCCUCAGACCCUGCCCUGUUUGGGCGGAUCUGGCGUUGGGUGGUGCCGGAAGGCACGCCUAAAAGUCAGCGACGGCAUCCUCGACCGCAAGCGCACAACUGUCGCGAUGCAGGGCGGGCGGUGCCGGUGAACCCCUAAAUGUUGACCUCGGAUCAGGUAGGAUUACCCGCUGAACUUAA
rnacentral:misc_RNA from 1 species